rnacentral:rRNA from 1 species
GGGUUGUAAACUUCUUUUAUAUUAGAAUAAAGUGCAGUAUGUAUACUGUUUUGUAUGUAUAAUAUGAAUAAGGAUCGGCUAACUCCGUGCCAGCAGCCGCGGUAAUACGGAGGAUCCGAGCGUUAUCCGGAUUUAUUGGGUUUAAAGGGAGCGUAGGUGGGCAGGUAAGUCAGUUGUGAAAGUUUGCGGCUCAACCGUAAAAUUGCAGUUGAUACUGUCAGUCUUGAGUACAGUAGAGGUGGGCGGAAUUCGUGGUGUAGCGGUGAAAUGCUUAGAUAUCACGAAGAACUCCGAUUGCGAAGGCAGCUCACUGGACUGCAACUGACACUGAUGCUCGAAAGUGUGGGUAUCAAACAGGAUUAGAUACCCUGGUAGUCCACACAGUAAA